GAUUAACGCUGGCGGCGUGCCUAAUGCAUGCAAGUCGUACGGUCUUAAGCAAUUAAGAUAGUGGCAAACGGGUGAGUAACGCGUGAGUAACCUACCCCGAAGUGUGGAACAACUCUGGGAAACCAGGGCUACUGCCGCAUGUGGUAGUUCUUCUUAAGCAGGAUUAAGAAAGCUGCAAGGCGCUUCGGGAGGGGCUUGCGUACUAGCAGGUAGUUGGUGGGGUAAGGGCUCACCAAGCCGAUGACGGGUAGCUGGUCUGAGAGGACGACCAGCCACACUGGGACUGAGACACGGCCCAGACUCCUACGGGAGGCAGCAGCAGGGAAUUUUGCGCAAUGGACGAAAGUCUGACGCAGCAACGCCGCGUGGGGGAAGAAGGCCUUCGGGUUGUAAACCUCUUUUCUCAGGGAAGAAUAAUGACGGUACCUGGGGAAUAAGUCUCGGCUAACUACGUGCCAGCAGCCGCCGUAAUAC
rnacentral:rRNA from 1 species